rnacentral:lncRNA from 1 species
CUUUGCGAGGGCGGAGUUGCGUUCUCUUUAGCACACAGCCGGAGAGCAUCGCGAGGGCGGAGCUGCGUUCUCCUCUGCACAGACUUCGGGGCUAUUGCGAAGGCGGAGCAGAGUUCUUCUCAGGUGUCUGACUUCCAGCAACUGCUGGCCUGUGCCAGGGUGCAAGCUGAGCACUGGAGUGGAGUUUUCCUGUGGAGAGGAGCCAUGCCUAGAGUGGGAUGGGCCAUUGUUCAUCUUCUGGCCCCUGUUGUCUGCAUGUAACUUAAUACCACAACCAGGCAUAGGGGAAAGAUUGGAGGAAAGAUGAGUGAGAGCAUCAACUUCUCUGACAACCUAGGCCAGCUCCUGUCUCCCCCCAGGUGUGUGGUGAUGCCAGGCAUGCCCUUCCCUAGCAUCAGGUCUCCAGAGCUGCAGAAGACGACGGCCGACUUGGAUCACACUCUUGUGAGUGUCCCCAGUGUUGCAGAGGUGAGAGGAGAGUAGACAGUGAGUGGGAGUGGCGUCGCCCCUAGGGCUCUACUGGACCAGCGUCUCCUGUCUCCUGGAGAGGCUUCGAUGCCCCUCCACACCCUCUUGAUCUUCCCUGUGAUGUCAUCUGGAGCCCUGCUGCUUGCGGUGGCCUUAUAAAGCCUCCUGGUCUGGCUCCAAGGCCUGGCAGAGUCUUUCCCAGGGAAAGCUACAAGCAGCAAACAGUCCGCAUGGGUCAUCCCCUUCACUCCCAGCUCAGAGCCCAGGCCAGGGGCCCCCAAGAAAGGCUCUGGUGGAGAACCUCUGCAUGAAGGCUGUCAACCAGUCCAUAGGCAAGCCUGGCUGCCUCCAGCUGGGUGGACAGACAGGGGCUGGAGAAGGGGAGAAGAGGAAAGGGGGUUGCCUGCCCUGUCUCCUACCUGAGGCUGAGGAGGGAGAAGGGGAUGCACUGUUGGGGAGGCAGCUGUAACUCAAAGCCUUAGCCUCUGUUCCCACGAAGGCAGGGCCAUCAGGCACCAAAGGGAUUCUGCCAGCAUAGUGCUCCUGGACCAGUGAUACACCCGGCACCCUGUCCUGGACAAGCUGUUGGCCUGGAUCUGAGCCCUCGUGGAGGUCAAAGCCACCUUUGGUUCUGCCAUUGCUGCUGUGUGGAAGUUCACUCCUGCCUUUUCCUUUCCCUAGAGCCUCCACCACCCCGAGAUCACAUUUCUCACUGCCUUUUGUCUGCCCAGUUUCACUAGAAGUAGGCCUCAUCCUGACAGGCAGCUGCACCACUGCCUGGCGCUGUGCCCUUCCUUUGCUCUGCCCGCUGGAGACGGUGUUUGUCAUGGGCCUGGUCUGCAGGGAUCCUGCUACAAAGGUGAAACCCAGGAGAGUGUGGAGUCCAGAGUGUUGCCAGGACCCAGGCACAGGCAUUAGUGCCCGUUGGAGAAAACGGGAAUCCCAAAGAAAUGGUGGGUCCUGGCCAUCCGUGAGAUCUUCCCAGGGCAGCUCCCCUCUGUGGAACCCAAUCUGUCUUCCAUCCUGUGUGGCCGAGGGCCAGGCUUCUCACUAGGCCUCUGCAGGAGGCUGCCAUUUGUCCUGCCCACCUUCUUAGAAGCGAGACGGAGCAGACCCAUCUGCUACUGCCCUUUCUAUAAUAACUAAAGUUAGCUGCCCUGGACUAUUCACCCCCUAGUCUCAAUUUAAAAAGAUCCCCAUGGCCACAGGGCCCCUGCCUGGGGGCUUGUCACCUCCCCCACCUUCUUCCUGAGUCACUCCUGCAGCCUUGCUCCCUAACCUGCCCCACAGCCUUGCCUGGAUGUCUAUCUCCCUGGCUUGGUGCCAGUUCCUCCAAGUCGAUGGCACCUCCCUCCCUCUCAACCACUUGAGCAAACUCCAAGACAUCUUCUACCCCAACACCAGCAAUUGUGCCAAGGGCCAUUAGGCUCUCAGCAUGACUAUUUUUAGAGACCCCGUGUCUGUCACUGAAACCUUUUUUGUGGGAGACUAUUCCUCCCAUCUGCAACAGCUGCCCCUGCUAACUGCCCUUCUCUCCUCCCUCUCAUCCCAGAGAAACAGGUCAGCUGGGAGCUUCUGCCCCCACUGCCUAGGGACCAACAGGGGCAGGAGGCAGUCACUGACCCCGAGACGUUUGCAUCCUGCACAGCUAGAGGUCCUUUAUUAAAAGCACACUGUUGGUUUCUGCUCA